ACGUAGGGUGCGAGCGUUAAUCGGAAUUACUGGGCGUAAAGCGUGCGCAGGCGGUUAUAUAAGUCAGAUGUGAAAUCCCCGGGCUCAACCUGGGAACUGCAUUUGAGACUGUAUGACUAGAGUGUGGCAGAGGGGGGUGGAAUUCCACGUGUGGCGGUGAAAGCCGUAGGGUGGUGAAGGACAACGGAUGGGGAGGGAGCCCCCUGGGCCAAUACUGACGCUCAUGCACGAAAGCGUGGGGAGCAAACAG
rnacentral:rRNA from 1 species